rnacentral:lncRNA from 1 species
CCUAAUGUAUAUAAAGGUGUGUAUGUAUAUGUUAUUAAUUAAAGCAACAAACACAUAUGGGAGAAAACAUCUCUUUUAGUAAAAUUAAAGGCUUAAGUAGUAGUCUACCUUAGAAAUUGUACCCGAUACAACCAUUUCUUCAAGAUUCAAACAAAUUCUUGUCUUGGCUUUAGUUGUGAACAAACUUUCCUAGGGCCACUUGAAAAGAAAAAAAAUUUUACCUAA